AACGAACGCUGGCGGCAUGCCUAACACAUGCAGGUCGAACGAGACCUUCGGGUCUAGUGGCGCACGGGUGCGUAACGCGUGGGAACCUGCCCUUAGGUUCGGAAUAACUCCCCGAAAGGGGUGCUAAUACCGGAUAAUGUCUUCGGACCAAAGAUUUAUCGCCUUUGGAUGGGCCCGCGUUGGAUUAGCUAGUUGGUAGGGUAAAAGCCUACCAAGGCGACGAUCCAUAGCUGGUCUGAGAGGAUGAUCAGCCACACUGGGACUGAGACACGGCCCAGACUCCUACGGGAGGCAGCAGGGGGGAAUAUUGGACAAUGGGCGAAAGCCUGAUCCAGCAAUGCCGCGUGAGUGAUGAAGGCCUUAGGGUUGUAAAGCUCUUUUACCCGGGAUGAUAAUGACAGUACCGGGAGAAUAAGCUCCGGCUAACUCCGUG
rnacentral:rRNA from 1 species